UGGACUCCAAAGCUCUUCCCCUCUGUCUUUAGAACACGGUCUAUUUUUCCUUAUUCGGAUCCUCCACUCACAAGCUCACACAGGCAGCUUCUAGCCCUCACGCUUGGAAGUUUCUCGGGUGGCAGAACCGUGGUCGCCGCAGGGUUUCUAGGCAGUCGAGCAAAUACGCUGAAAUCGAUAGGUGAGCGAUUCUUCAUACGAACUUCAGGUUGGUUCCUCUUGUCUGGCCCAGGAGGCUCUAACCCCAGUCUCCUGCCUCGGCCUCCUAAGAGCUGGGAUCAUGACAUGUGCCGCCUCCCUCAGCCAAACAAGUUUAGUAGUGUGUUCUACGUGGGUACUGCAAGAUGAGCACGGCCUGCCCUGUGUUUGUUUCUGUUCCGUGGCGCUGGGGAUCAAAGCAUGCUACCACUGAGCUGCACCCCCAACCCCAGAGCCCAUUUCAAAUCCUGCUAAAGGUGGUAUUAAAGGUGGGCAAAAGUCAACCAGAAAGUUCAGUUCCUGGGCUGGCAGGAUGGCUCAGUGGGUAAAGGCAUCCGCCGCCAAGCCUGACACUUGGUGGAGAGGAAGAAUGAUCCUGGCGAGCUGUCCUCUGACCUCUGCGUGUGUGUCCAGCUUCUGCUCCCGCAAGCAUGCCCAAUGCACACUGAGUAAAUAAAUGAUAAUAAAGUUUUUACAGUCCCAGUUCUGUGGAGACGGAGACUUCAUUAAACUGUACUGUGGAAGUCAGCCCCUGGGGGCUGCUUUUCAGCUCCAAUGCUCCUUUCUAAAUUUGUGCCCUUUUGGUAAUAUUUUCAGUAGUGGACUGCUUUAGCACUGUGAACAUGCUUGAGUUUGAAAUUCCUUAAGCCGGCUCUAGUAAAGAAAAUACUGGGCAGUAGAGGGAGUUGUAGCUGUGGGACUGCUGAUAACAGACAAGCUCUUUGAGAGCAGAGCUAAAGCCUUCCCUGCAGUUUUCUUGGCACCAGAAUAGCUGGGGAGAGGAUAAAAGCUGCAGCAGUAUAAUCCCUAAGAAAACCUGCUGGCUGCCUGUUCCAUUUCCCUGUGUGGCCUUUCUGACCUGGUUGCCUUGUGUAAGCAAAGCUGUGCCUGCUGUGGCUUAUUCUGAAUGGAUCAAGACGUGGAAGGUUCUAUUUUUGACAGAGCAAACGAUGAUCUAGUGAGGAAUAGGUGCUCUUACAAUUGAGCUCUGUAUUUAGAAAUCCUUGCCUGCUCCCCGCCCGGUGGAGCCUGUGGUGUUUGCCUUUUAACUCGGACUUUUCCGCAGUCUGUAGCUCCUUUCUUCUAGCUGGAAUCUGUAUGGCGGAGGGCGUUGCUCUGGCUUCAUUAAGGUUACUGAACUACUGGGGAGCAGCUCAUGUUGGCAGCCCUUGCCCCUGUGAAGGCGGGAUGUGGUGAUGUCUGUACCUCAGCAUUCCUAGGACAAGAUGGGAGAUGGGAACAGGAGAAUCCUCUGGAAGCUCGACAACCACAGUGGCAACCAAGAGAGAUGCUGCCUCAAACACGUUGGAAGAGAAGGACCAAGAUCUGAAGAUGCCCCUGACUUCCACAUGCACACCGUGGUCUGUGCACACCCUUACACAUGAACACGUGACCAAAAUAAAUAUUAAUAAAAUAAACCUUAUGGCUGUCA